GAGAGAGACAUGCGCGCAUAUCAAUAAGCGGAGGAAAAGAAACUAACAAGGAUUCCCUUAGUAACGGCGAGUGAAGCGGGAAGAGCUCGAAUUUGAAAUCUUCAAGGUUCUACCUUGACGAAUUGUAGUUUAUAGAAGUGUUUUCUGUUAGUGGAGUGGCAAAAGUUCUUUGGAAUAGGACAUCAUAGAGGGUGAGAAUCCCGUAUUUGGUCAUUCCUCCUAGCGUUGUGAUACACUUUCAACGAGUCGGAUUGUUUGGGAAUGCAGUCCAAAAUGGGUGGUAAAUUUCAUCUAAAGCUAAAUAUUGGCGAGAGACCGAUAGCGAACAAGUACCGUGAGGGAAAGAUGAAAAGAACUUUGAAAAGAGAGUUAAACAGUACGUGGAAAUUGUCAAAAGGGAAGCGUUUGACACCAGUGUUGUUUUUCCGAAAAUCAAUUACGAAUGUUUUAGUUUUUGAGGAGUUAUGACUUCAUCGGCUUGCUCCUUUCUUUAUGAAACUUUCUUAAUGCACUUUUCGGUUAACAAGUCAACAUCAAUUUCUUUUGUUGUAAAAGGGUAUGAGGAAGGUGGCUUUCUUUUCGGAGAAAGUGUUUAUAGCCUUGUAGCCUCUGCAAUCGGAGAGAUUGAGGUCUGCAGCGUAGAUCCUUCGGGGUUAGAUACAUUUGUGCUAAGUUAUAGCUUUUCAUAGACAACUUGUUGACUAUGAUCAGUCAUGUAGCUUACUCGCUUAUGCUAUUUUACCUACGCUUAGGAUGUUGAUAGUCACAGCGUGUAC
rnacentral:rRNA from 1 species